GACGAACGCUGGCGGCGUGCUUAACACAUGCAAGUCGAACGGAAAGGCCCUGCUUUUGUGGGGUGCUCGAGUGGCGAACGGGUGAGUAACACGUGAGUAACCUGCCCUUGACUUUGGGAUAACUUCAGGAAACUGGGGCUAAUACCGGAUAGGAGCUCCUGCUGCAUGGUGGGGGUUGGAAAGUUUCGGCGGUUGGGGCUGGACUCGCGGCUUAUCAGCUUGUUGGUGGGGUAGUGGCUUACCAAGGCUUUGACGGGUAGCCGGCCUGAGAGGGUGACCGGCGACAUUGGGACUGAGAUACGGCGCAGACUCCUACGGGAGGCAGCAGUGGGGAAUAUUGCACAAUGGGCGGAAGCCUGAUGCAGCAACGCCGCGUGCGGGAUGACGGCCUUCGGGUUGUAAACCGCUUUCGCCUGUGACGAAGCGUGAGUGACGGUAAUGGGUAAAGAAGCACCGGCUAACUACGUG
rnacentral:rRNA from 1 species